GGGGAUGUAGCUCAGUGGUAGAUCACUUGUCUAGCAUGAACAAGGCCCUGGGUUCAACCCCCAGUACCCAUA
rnacentral:tRNA from 1 species